rnacentral:rRNA from 1 species
GAUGAACGCUAGCGGCAGGCCUAAUACAUGCAAGUCGAACGAAGCAGCAAUGCUUAGUGGCGCACGGGUGCGUAACGCGUAUGUAACCUACCUUUUACUGGGGGAUAACUUCUCGAAAGAGAAGCUAAUACCGCAUAAUGCAUUAAGGUCACCUGGUCUAAAUGUUAAAGAUUUAUUGGUAAAAGAUGGGCAUGCGUCCAAUUAGCUAGUUGGUAGUGUAACGGACUACCAAGGCUACGAUUGGUAGGGGGUCUGAGAGGAUGGUCCCCCACACUGGUACUGAGAUACGGACCAGACUCCUACGGGAGGCAGCAGUAGGGAAUAUUGGGCAAUGGACGAAAGUCUGACCCAGCCAUGCCGCGUGCAGGAUGAAGGCCCUCUGGGUUGUAAACUGCUUUUGACAGGGAAGAAAUACACCAUGCGUGGUGAGCUGACGGUACCUGUAGAAUAAGCACCGGCUAACUCCGUGCCAGCCGCCGCCGUAAGAC